rnacentral:rRNA from 1 species
AUGUUAUUCCGGGAGUGCCUUGACAAUUGCGGCCUCAUAGACUUGGGAUACUUUGGUCCAAAAUUUACAUGGUCUAAUAGACAAGAAGGUGGACACAAUGUCAGAGUGAGAUUGGAUAGGGCUGACGCAAAUGGGGACUUCAUGCAGAUUUUUGACGACUGUACAGUUGAGAACAUUAUCACCACCUCUUCAGACCAUUAUGCAAUUUUGGUGACAAUAGCGAAAAGUGAAGGCAAGGAACUCACCACCCCAGUCCAACAGUCAUUCAAGUUUGAAGCAGCGUGGAUGAGAACUCCUGAUUAUGACCAAAUGAUUGAAGACAACUGGAAGACACACAAAGGACGCUAUCCGUCCCUUCAUAAUACUUGGUCUACUCUGUGUAAAUUAUCUAACAGCCUAAAAAUUUGGAGUAGAGAGUCUUUCGGCUCGGUUAAAAAGGAGAUCAGAAAACUAGAAAAAAGACUAACCGCUAUCCGGAAGAACAAUGCUUUCAACAACAAUCCAUAUGAAGAGAGGGAAAUAGAAAAGAGAUUGUGUGAACUAUUUGAGAGAGAAGAGAUCAUGGCUAGACAGCGGUCAAGGGUAGAAUGGCUCAGAGAGGGCGACCGUAACACUUCAUUUUUCCAUGCCCGAGCUUCUGCAAGGAGAAGAAAUAACAAAAUAAAAGGUCUUCGGAAAGUUGAUGGAUCUAUGUGUGAGGAUCCAGGGGGAAUCAGAGGAAUGGUAUAUGAUUUCUAUUCCACACUCUUUACAUCUGAACCCACUUAUACAAUGGACAAGGUGCUGGAAGCCAUACCAACAAAGGUUAGUGAGGAAAUGAAU